rnacentral:rRNA from 1 species
UACAGAGGGGGCAAGCGUUGUUCGGAAUUACUGGGCGUAAAGGGCGCGUAGGCGGCCUGCUAAGUCGAACGUGAAAUCCCCGAGCUCAACUCGGGAACUGCGUCCGAUACUGGCAGGCUUGAAUCCGGGAGAGGGAUGCGGAAUUCCAGGUGUAGCGGUGAAAUGCGUAGAUAUCAGGAAGAACACCCGUGGCGAAGGCGGUUCUCUGGGACGGUACUGACGCUGAGACGCGAAAGCGUGGGGAGCGAACAGG